AGAGUUUGAUCAUGGCUCAGAUUGAACGCUGGCGGCAGGCCUAACACAUGCAAGUCGAACGGUAACAGGAAGCAGCUUGCUGCUUCGCUGACGAGUGGCGGACGGGUGAGUAAUGUCUGGGAAACUGCCUGAUGGAGGGGGAUAACUACUGGAAACGGUAGCUAAUACCGCAUAAUGUCGCAAGACCAAAGAGGGGGACCUUCGGGCCUCUUGCCAUCGGAUGUGCCCAGAUGGGAUUAGCUUGUUGGUGGGGUAACGGCUCACCAAGGCGACGAUCCCUAGCUGGUCUGAGAGGAUGACCAGCCACACUGGAACUGAGACACGGUCCAGACUCCUACGGGAGGCAGCAGUGGGGAAUAUUGCACAAUGGGCGCAAGCCUGAUGCAGCCAUGCCGCGUGUAUGAAGAAGGCCUUCGGGUUGUAAAGUACUUUCAGCGGGGAGGAAGGGAGUAAAGUUAAUACCUUUGCUCAUUGACGUUACCCGCAGAAGAAGCACCGGCUAACUCCGUGCCAGCAGCCGCGGUAAUACGGAGGGUGCAAGCGUUAAUCGGAAUUACUGGGCGUAAAGCGCACGCAGGCGGUUUGUUAAGUCAGAUGUGAAAUCCCCGGGCUCAACCUGGGAACUGCAUCUGAUACUGGCAAGCUUGAGUCUCGUAGAGGGGGGUAGAAUUCCAGGUGUAGCGGUGAAAUGCGUAGAGAUCUGGAGGAAUACCGGUGGCGAAGGCGGCCCCCUGGACGAAGACUGACGCUCAGGUGCGAAAGCGUGGGGAGCAAACAGGAUUAGAUACCCUGGUAGUCCACGCCGUAAACGAUGUCGACUUGGAGGUUGUGCCCUUGAGGCGUGGCUUCCGGAGCUAACGCGUUAAGUCGACCGCCUGGGGAGUACGGCCGCAAGGUUAAAACUCAAAUGAAUUGACGGGGGCCCGCACAAGCGGUGGAGCAUGUGGUUUAAUUCGAUGCAACGCGAAGAACCUUACCUGGUCUUGACAUCCACGGAAGUUUUCAGAGAUGAGAAUGUGCCUUCGGGAACCGUGAGACAGGUGCUGCAUGGCUGUCGUCAGCUCGUGUUGUGAAAUGUUGGGUUAAGUCCCGCAACGAGCGCAACCCUUAUCCUUUGUUGCCAGCGGUCCGGCCGGGAACUCAAAGGAGACUGCCAGUGAUAAACUGGAGGAAGGUGGGGAUGACGUCAAGUCAUCAUGGCCCUUACGACCAGGGCUACACACGUGCUACAAUGGCGCAUACAAAGAGAAGCGACCUCGCGAGAGCAAGCGGACCUCAUAAAGUGCGUCGUAGUCCGGAUUGGAGUCUGCAACUCGACUCCAUGAAGUCGGAAUCGCUAGUAAUCGUGGAUCAGAAUGCCACGGUGAAUACGUUCCCGGGCCUUGUACACACCGCCCGUCACACCAUGGGAGUGGGUUGCAAAAGAAGUAGGUAGCUUAACCUUCGGGAGGGCGCUUACCACUUUGUGAUUCAUGACUGGGGUGAAGUCGUAACAAGGUAACCGUAGGGGAACCUGCGGUUG
rnacentral:rRNA from 6 species